rnacentral:rRNA from 1 species
AGAUUGAACGCUGGCGGCAUGCCUUACACAUGCAAGUCGAACGGCAGCACGGGGGCAACCCUGGUGGCGAGUGGCGAACGGGUGAGUAAUGCAUCGGAACGUGCCCAGUAGUGGGGGAUAACUAGUCGAAAGAUUAGCUAAUAUCGCAUACGACCUAUGGGUGAAAGCGGGGGAUUCGCAAGAACCUCGCGC